CCUACGGGUGGCAGCAGUGGGGAAUAUUGCACAAUGGCGGAAACCCUGAUGCAGCGACGCCGCGUGAGUGAUGACGGCCCUCGGCUUGUAAAGCCCUGUCUUCAGGGACGAUAAUGACGGUACUUGACGAGGAAGCCACGGCUCACUACGUGCCAGCAGCCGCGGUAAUACGCAGGUGGCGAGCGUUAUCCGGAUUUACUGGGCGUAAAGGGGGCGCAGGCGGUUUUUUAAGUGAGAUGUGAAAUACUCGGGCGCAACUUGAGGGCUGCUUUUGAAACUGGGGGGCUAGAGUGCAGGGGAGGAAGACGGAAUGCCUGGUGUAGCGGUGAAAUGCGUAGAUA
rnacentral:rRNA from 1 species